AUUACCACAAAGUAUAUACUUUAUUUUAGGCCAAUUUCAAAGUAUCAUAUGAAGAAAGAUAUACUGUAACAGAAUUUAUUGUUCUAAAACACAUGCACAUUUCUAUCAAAAAAAACAAAAAAAAAAAAAAACAAAAAACAGAACAGAUCAUUACUGAAUAUAAAUUCAUUUCAUGUGCAUUUAGAAAACUCUAAAUACAAAAUCCUUUAACUUGUGAUUAGUUCUACUGCUACAAUGAGAGUCAACAGCUAAUAUGCUCUGACAAUUACACACUAAGCAUAAAAUCAGGUCUGUGUGACAAAAUGCAUUGAUGCAUUAAAAUGAAAACUAGCCGUGCAAUACGAGCACUGUGGUGUACCACUCAUUUUAGUUGCAUUGUUCUCACCAACACUGUUCAUCCAUCUUAAAAAUCCAUCAACACGUGAUUUAAUAUUCAGUAAAAUCAAAACUAAAAAGAGGUUUCUCACGAAUAAAAAAAACCCCCAAAUGCUACCCAUUUAGUAUUGGUUGGCAACAGAAUCAGUGUGACAUCCUGCAAAGCCUAAACCAAGGGCACGCACAGCAGGCUGAUUAUUCAAAGGUUACUGCAGUAAUGCAAAUAUGUAGUCAUUGUGUAAACAUCAAAAAAAAUAACGUGAUUAUGUGAGAAUUGUCAGUGUGUUGUCUCAACUGCGGCCGAGUAUGUAAACAUGUGAGUGCUUGUAGAAGAAUCGCUCUUUUCUCUGCUCUGAAACCUCAUCCUUAAAAAUCUCAAGGUUAGUCACUCGAAACAACCAUCCCAAACAGAAGGGGAGGGGGGAAAAAAAAAAAAAAAGAAUCUCUCUCAGCUAGACGUGCCCAUUAACACUUAAAACAUGUUCUCAUUAUUAGCUUAUACAGUUUGUUCAAACACAGGCUGAUUUACAAAUCAUACCGUUUGUGGACUCUAAAGAUAGAAGCAAAAUACAAGUUUUUAGUGUCAUUACAAAAACAUCUUUGGAAUCUGCAUCAACAAUUCCUGACUGAGAUAUCUGAUUGUUUCUUUAUUAUGCCACCAAAAAAAAAAAAAAAAAAAAAAAAAAAAAAAAAAAAAACACACACAACAGGCAAAAGGAAAAACUCACCACCAUCAGUCACACACUGAUCCUCUACUCUACCCCUUGACAUGACUCUUAAACCUGCUAAAACUUGUCCUGGCUGCAGUCUAUAAACCUUUCAUAUAAAACACUCAACACAGCGUCGCAUAGACGGGGGGGCGGGGGGUUCCAACAUUGUAACUGUUGUAUACUGUAUGUGGUCAUAAGGUUUCAUUGAUCAAAGAGCUAUACUUUGUUCUGAGCCAAGAGACCUGUCUUUUUGGUUAAUGUUCAGUAAAGACAGUGAAAAAAAAAAAAAAAAAGCUGCAUGUGAAUAUCAAAAAUACAAUAACAUUAAAGUGGAUACAGUAAAGCAGAAAUGAGAGAAUCAGAUAAAUGGGUUUAAAAAGAGUCCAAACAGAAUCAGACCACCAAGAUUAAGUCCUGGCUGGUUUGAUCUCAUUGAAGUGACGUGCUGUGAUAUAACAGACGACCCUGUUUAAAAAAAAAAAAAAAAAAUUCAAUUAUUCAAUGUAUGAAAGAAGGAAAAAAAAAGAAAGUAAAAUGCCAUUUGAUCUAAACUAUCAUACAUAUAUAGUUAUCUAAAAAUAGAACACUAAAAAAGAUAAAACGACGAAUGGAUUGUGAAUCAGGCUGGGAUAAAAUUGAGAUAGCAAGAAGCUAGGCGUUUAAAACCACCCUCUCCUGUUUAAAAAAAAAAACAAAACCCCAAACAUACAAUUUUGAUCAUUGAACAUUAGAGGGAAAUAUGCCUGCCGUUUAUGGGAACGGCGGUGUGCUUGUUGCUGAAUUAUAGAAAUGUGGGUAUUUAUUCGUGUCGCUCGCGUCUCAAAAAAAAAAAAAAAAAACAACUGAAGGCACUUGAUCUAUCAAAGGUUUAACUUAGACUUGCUGGCACAGCCAAGCAGCGGUGUAGUCAAUCCCCAGGUUCGAACCCCUCCCACCCCCACCCCAAGCAACAUGGGCCUCACGUUACCUUUACUCCAAAUCAGUAUUGUUCUUUAUGCUCCAAAUACAUCAUUUUUGGUUUUUCAGGCUUGUUGAAAAAAAACAAAACAAAAAAACAACAACAACAAAAAGAAUAAAAACAUGAGGCCAAAUAUAAAGCUACUAGCUAGAUGCAAACGUCCCAAAUACAGUUAAGUAGUGAUGCGUCACACUAUUUUGCAAGAAAGAGGCUCCAGAGACUCCAGGGGAUAACUGAUCGUGGCAGAAGAGUGGAAGCACCUGCCCAGUGGGUAAAUAUGCCCUAGAUUCACUGACAGGCCUGUGAAAGAUUUGGGGACCCUUGCAUAAUUGUCUGUUCAUAGGCCAGCCUUGAAGACACAGACAAAAUAC
ensembl:lncRNA